GUGGGGAAUAUUGCGCAAUGGGCGAAAGCCUGACGCAGCGACGCCGCGUGGGUGAUGAAGGCCUUCGGGUCGUAAAGCCCUGUCGGGAGGGACGAAACAUCGGCGCUCUAAUACAUCGCCGACCUGACGGUACCUCCUAAGGAAGCACCGGCUAACUCCGUGCCAGCAGCCGCGGUAAUACGGAGGGUGCAAGCGUUGUUCGGAAUUACUGGGCGUAAAGCGCGUGUAGGCGGCACUCUAAGUCUGGUGUGAAAGCCCGGGGCUUACCCCCGGAAGUGCAUUGGAUACUGGAGUACUAGAGUACCGGAGAGGAGGGUGGAAUUCCUGGUGUAGCGGUGAAAUGCGUAGAUAUCAGGAAGAACACCGGUGGCGAAGGCGGCCCUCUGGACGGAUACUGACGCUGAGACGCGAAAGCGUGGGGAGCAAACAGGAUUAGAAACCCGGGUAGUCC
rnacentral:rRNA from 1 species